AUGUCACGUCUGUCCUUGUUUCCUUUCACAGUUGCUGAAGUCUUCUUAGAGUCUUUCCUGAAGUCUAAGUGUGAUGAGAGCAGAGGUACCUCCGUUUCAUCACUGCAUCCUGGGCACCUAGUGGACCUGGCAAGGUGCAGCCCUAUGAGAACUCGGAGGAGUGCUGUCUGCCUCUGCUUCAUUAAUUCCGGAGAGACCUUCUCUGCUAGAAUGUUCCAAGGUCUCACGGGAGGCAGGAGAAACGGUGCCCUGAAGAGGUCCCGCCCCAAUGCCUGUGAAUGUGCUACGUCACACGUAGAGAGAGCUGGUCUUUUGGGGAGAUCCUCCUGCGUUACCUGGUGUGCCCGAUGUGAUCCAGUGGAUCCUUCAAAGUAGAAGAGGUAUAUACACCCCAGAGAGUUAAAAACAGGUACUCCCACAACUACGGGUCCAUGUGUGGUCACACCUGCCCUGGUCACAAUCGUCAAAAGGUAGUCAUAGCCAGUGUCCGGGAACAGAUGCCUGGAUGAACAAAAUGCAGUGUAUAUACGCAGUGAAAUAUUAUCCAGACAUAGAAAGGCAUGAAGUACUUAUACUUAGUACGACACCAAGGAACCUCUAAAACAUUAUCCUAGAUGAAGGAAGCCAGACGCCGAGGUCACACGUUGUAUGGUUUCAUGCAUAUGAAAUAUCCAGCACAGGUGCAUCCAGUGAGACAGAAAGCAGGUUGGUGUUGCCACGGGCUUGGGGGCAAGGGGAAUGGGGAAUAACCGCUCAAUGGGUGAAGGUCCUACUUGGGAGUUGUUCUAACUGAAAAAAAAAUAAAAUCACCAAUGAUUAGCAAUGAGUUUUACCUUCCUUCUUUAUAUAGUGCAAGGCCAGUUUUAAAUGCAAAUAUAAGAGCAUUCAACCCAUAUGAGGAAUUAUCAAAAUUACACAGUUUGUAUUUAUAGCCGACAUCUUCAAGGUCAAGGGAAAGAUGAUGAAGACUUUCCAGCAGUGACAGGAAGGCAUUGAACCACGCCGGGGGCCUUCUGAGUGUUGGGUCUCAGGAGGGUGCUCAGGUCGCACACCUUGAAGCUGCUCCUGAGCACACUGCCUGCCCUUUGCUGAAUCACGCCCCCAUCUCCUUGACAACACUCCUUGCAUCUCUAAGAUAAAUUCCAUGCACUUGAAUCCUUGUCUUAGGUUGCUUUAGGGUUGGGGGUGGGGCAGGAAUCCAGACUCUGGCCCCCUCACUGUAUCCAUAGUUCAAAGGAGAGGAGUAGGAAAAGCUUGGAGACGCGAGCCGUGUGCUGUGGGAGAGGCUGUGGCUUGGGGUGGUGCAGAGUCUCCCUGGAGAAGUGGGGGUUGAGCCGCAUCUUAGAGGGUGUGCUAGCUGGGAGACAGUCCGGCAGGGGUGGGGAUUCUGUGCUGGGACUGGCCAAUGCGAUUAGUGACACAGGGACAGCCUUUGGAGCUACUCCAAACCACAUUUCAAAGGCUCUCGUGCACGUGAUCACACGUGAGUCUCAGCAAAACCCAUUAGGCAGAAAGGGUAGAGGAAUGAAGACAUCUCAACUAUCCGGAACCCAAGGGCCUAGUGGAUUCUUCACUGGAACCCAGUUCUUUUGCUCCUGGAGCCCCUGGGGAUCUCACCACGCCACGCAGCUCCGGAAGAUCGGAAGAUGGGGGCCAUGAAGCUUAGUCAGAGGAGUCCGUGGUCCUGAGGUCACAGGCGUGUGGGGAGACAUGCGGUGUCCCUCUCUUGUUCUGUAUAAAAGGCACAGGGAAUUUAAUAGAGAGACCCGAGGUCCUGGAUUCCGUACACAUCCGAAAUGAUUUCUGUAGGAGAAGCAGCCCCACCUUUGGACAUGUUGGCUGAGAGCAUCUGUUCUGGAACCGUGACCUGAACACACGUGGGAGCUGUCUGCCUUUACUUAAGAUUCUGAUUUUGCAAGGAGGGCCCGGCUAGGAACUUAUCUUGGGGUUAGAGGUGAGGAAGGGGUUUCAAAAGAGAUAAAGAAGUCAGAUUUCAGGGUCGCGGCGGUCAGCGCCCCCGGGCUCGCCGGCGGCAGUCCUGGAGGAAGGCUGUUCAAUAGACUGUGAGUUUCCUCUUGGAAGAGUCUCAGCUUUUCCUCCAACACCCAGAAGAGAGGACCAAAAUAUGUUGUAAGUUACUUGGUUCCAAAACGUCCUCUCUUUUUAUUUUUCUAACUUCUGUAAAAAUAAAAUAACUUUGACAUGACAGUCACUUGUGAAAAUACAAGUCAAUGAAAUGGAAUUUCGAAACUCUAAGUGAAGCAAAUGUUUGGAUUAUCUUGUUUCAAUUAAGAUGCCGUGCGUUUUGCCUUUUAAGAAGGAGGAUUCUGUCAUGUUCUCUGUUUAAAUGUACUGCACCCAGAGGUUAACUUUUGAACCAGCAGAAAAUGGGAGGAAACGGGAAAGUACUAGAAGUAAAACGGGAGGGGGAGGGGAGCCACGUAGCAGACGAAGCAGAGAUUUUUGAGUCAGAGAGGUCUGAGUUUGAAUCCCGGUUCUGUGCUCGCUAGCUGUGUGACGCUGGGUAACUUACUGAACCUCUCUGAGCCUCGGUUUCCUCAUCAAGAGAAUGCAUGCAAUUAUCCUGCAGCUUUGGUUUUGGGGAAUGAUGGAAUGGGAUAACGUCUGUGGUUUGGCCUGGUGCAGAGGAGGCCCUCAUGUAAAUAUUGAAUGAAUAAAUAAUAACUCUUGAAAAUAUUAUUUCUGACUAUCUGUGGAGCACUCCCUGAUUUUCAAUGUACCCUUGAGAGUCCACGGAUACCUAGGAUGUGUCAUUCUGUUGUGACCCCUAGACUUAGUUUUCCGAACAAUUGACUUCAACUCCUUUGGGUAGGCUGGCCCUUAGCACAGGAGUUGAGAGCCCUUCUUCCUUCCUCCCCACUUCCUUCUUUCCCGCCCUCCUUUCCUUCCCUCAUUCCUUCUGUUUAUUAAAAUUCAGUUAUCUUCCAUGCCUUGGCUUGGGAGUAAAGGCUUUGAGGUCAGUCAGACGUGGUCUUGCCUCUGAGAAGUUCAGAGUUUUGUGGGAGAGACACAGGGGAGGAAGCCCCAGACUGUGGGUGGCGUGGGGCGGGGAGAGGAGCAGGCUUCCCCAGAAGGGAUGGGGGCCACUCCAGGGAGGGGGCGUAAGGGCUGAAGGGCCUGAGGAUGCCAGGGGACCAGUGAGGGGGUUCGGGUGGCCGAGCACGGCCGACAGAGCCCCGGGGAGGUGAGGACUCAGGGGCCAGAAGGGACCAGACAGCCACAGACAUUGCAGGCCCUUAGAAGGUGUGUAGACUUCACUCCAUCAGCCACAGAGAGCGAGAGCAGGGCAUAAAAAUGGCCAAAGGCACAUGCUAGAGUCCAUCAGGGCCCAGACUUGAGGGGGUGGUGAUAUCAGCGAGAGGGGUCAAGAGCCUGUUUUAAUUUUUUUAUUAUUAUUUAUUUAUUUAUUAUUCUUUUAGGGCUGCACCCAUGGCCUAUGGAAGUUCCCUGGCCAGGGGUCGAAUUGGAGCUGCAGCUGCCAGCCUACACCACAGCCACAGCAACACAGGGUCCAAGCCGCAUCUGUGCCCUACACCACCGCUAAGGCAACGCCGGAUCCUUAACCCACUGAGCGAGGUCAGGGAUGGAGCCCGCAUCCUCAUGGAUACUAGUCAGGUUCUUAAGCCACUGAGACACAACGGGAACUCCUCAAGGAGCCUAUUUUUAAAAUCAACUGAACGAUGAGAAGGGUCAGAGCUUAGAGAUGGGGCAGGUAGAGAGGAAGAGAUGGUGGGAACAGCUCCAACAAGAAAUUGGGGGUGGGGGAUGAGGAAGGCGGGGAGCACCCCAGGUUAGUGCUGCGGGGUGGGGAGCCUAUUCCUAACUCCCUCUGAAGCAGAGGCCCCUCUCCGUGGAGGAGAGACUGUCUCACCCCAAGGAUGACCUGGAAAUGGCCCAACUUCACACUGGGCUUUCCAGGUCCAGGCCUGCUGUAAACACGCGCUGAAUGAGUGGAUGCCGGAAGUGAUGCUCCUACGGAAGGUGGCAGAGGUGAGGGCUGGCGGGCUGUUUUGAGUCUUGUUGCUCAUCGGCCUUUCAGUUGCAUCCUUGGUAAGCAGUCACGUGCUUCAUCCCUCGAGGUCAUCUUCAGCACCUCCUCCUGGGCCCCUGGGCCCUGGUCAUGAGCUAAGAGGAGGUCAAUGUGGCGGAGCAGCUCCAGUCCCCCUCCUAUCAGCAUCUUGUCCACAGCAGACCUUGGUCUGCGUCUCGGGUUUUGUUUUUGUUUUUUGCCUUUUUAAGUUUUAUUGAAGUGUAGUGGAUUUACAAGAUUGUGUUGAUUUCUGCUGCACAACAACAUGAUUCAGUGACACACAAACACACAUCCUUUCUCUUUCAGAUUCUUCUCCCACAUAGCAAAUGACAUAUUUGCAAAUGUGUCUCGUUACCUCAGUGCGGAGUCUUGGCUUAGCUGGCUGCCUGGGCCCCCAGGUCUGUUUGGGUUGGAAGUUGCAAGCUGUCCUUUUUGCAAAGUAGGGUGAUCCGAAGUGCCUUUCCUGGGCAGACCCAGGCUCAGCUCAGAGACCUGCGGCCAGUUUGUCUCUGAGCAGAAGGGACGAACCAUAUCAGGAUUCCAAGUUCAAGUUGGAUUCUGUAGUUUCACAACUAAGUGCACACACCAUCAAGCUGGUGACUACUCCCGAGCCGGUUAGAAUUCCUCCUCGUUCUGUCACACAUCGUAAUGGGUGAGGCCUCUCAUGGAUCUCUUGGACUCUCUGUGCCUCGGUGCUUCAGGACACCACCGAGCGGGUGUGGACAGUACAUGGACAACGUGUUAUGUUCCUUUCCUCUCACCGUGUUUGACUGAGUCCACCCCUCAUGAGUAAGGGGCAUGGUGUCACCCACUCCUCUCGCUUUCCAGAACUCCAGCUUUGUGACAUUAGCAAGUUUAAUGCUUCACCUUCUUAUUGAAGUCAAGUUUCUUGAGGCAUUAUUUACAUUCAGUAAACUUCUGCCUUGUCAGGUGUACAUUUCAAGAAUUUUGAGGGAGUUCCCUUCAUGG
rnacentral:lncRNA from 9 species